rnacentral:rRNA from 1 species
UACAGAGGGGGCAAGCGUUGUUCGGAAUUACUGGGCGUAAAGGGCGCGUAGGCGGCCUGCUAAGUCGAACGUGAAAUCCCUGGGCUCAACCCAGGAACUGCGUCCAAGACUGGGAGGCUUGAAUCCGGGAGAGGGAUGCGGAAUUCCAGGUGUAGCGGUGAAAUUCGUAGAUAUUGGGAAGAACACCGGUGGCGAAGGCGGCUAUCUGGCCCGUAAUUGACGCUGAGGCGCGAAAGCGUGGGGAGCAAACAGG